rnacentral:lncRNA from 1 species
UGGUGAGUAACUAAAUAUUUUCUUGUCUGUCAUCAUUCAAAUAAAAAACAAGGCACGAAUUAAAUGAUUAGGACUACCAUAUACAUGAUCUGAAACAAAUAUAUACUCUGACAAAGACGAAUCACAUACAGACUGUUAGAUGUGUUUUGAAGAAAGAUUAGAUGGCUAAAGUCACAGUAUGACUUUACUUUAUAAAGUCACUGGAUUUCAGUCCACAUGGUUAGACGGUCACGAAGACAAUGACCCAUCAUCGAAUCGGCGUGCUCCACUGGGAUUUUUUCACUGUUUUAACCCAUAAGACGUAAAUAAUUUACAGAAUGAACUGGAUCUGAAAGUAUUCCCGGAUCUGACCCUUUUUAGAAACGGCAGAACCCGUGGCGUUGCUGCUCCACAUAGAAACACCUGUCUAUUACGACGUUUCUGGUCCACAUUCAGACAGACGUUUCUAUGUGAAGCAGCAACGCCACAGGCUCUGGCGUUUCUAAAAAGAUCAGAUCCGAAAAUAUUUUCAGAUCCAGUUCAUUCUGUAAAUUAUUUAUAUUUUAUGGAUUAAAAAAGUGAAAAAAACCCGCUCCAGUGAAGCUUCUGCCACCCACGCCCGCCACACAACCUUGCACGCCUACAUGGCUUUGGAUCGUUGGUAGGCCAAUAUCUUAGCGAAGACAACAUCGCAAGGCUGGGUGACGUCGCCUGCCACCACCUCUAAUUCCUCCG